AAAUAAAAAGCGAAAAAUUGCUCUCAGUUUCGGCCUGAGUCUUGGUGUUAAUUCACCUUUAUUUA
rnacentral:tRNA from 1 species